rnacentral:rRNA from 1 species
AAACUUAAAGGAAUUGACGGGGGCCCGCACAAGCGGUGGUGCAUGUGGUUUAAUUCGACGCAACGCGAGGAACCUUACCUGGGUUUGACAUGGCGCGAGUAGUGAACCGAAAGGGGAACGACCCGUCAAGUCGGGAAGCGUCACAGGUGCUGCAUGGCUGUCGUCAGCUCGUGCCGUGAGGUGUUGGGUUAAGUCCCGCAACGAGCGCAACCCCCGCCCUUUGCUGCCAUCAGGUGAUGCUGGGCACUCGAAGGGGACUGCCAGCGAUGAGUUGGAGGAAGGUGGGGAUGACGUCAAGUCAUCAUGGCCUUUAUAUCCAGGGCGACACACGUGCAACAAUGGCCGGUACAGACGGACGCAAGACCGUAAGGUGGAGCAAAUCCGAGAAAGCCGGUCUCAGUUCGGAUUGAGGUCUGCAACUCGACCUCAUGAAGUCGGAAUCGCUAGUAAUCGCGUAUCAGAACGACGCGGUGAAUACGUUCCCGGGCCUUGUACACACCGCCCGUCACACCACGAAAGUCUGUUGUACCCGAAGUCGGUGUCCGAACCCCGCAAGGGGACGAAGCCGCCCAAGGUAUGGCCGAUGAUUNGGNNGAAGUCGUAACAA